AAAUUGAAGAGUUUGAUCAUGGCUCAGAUUGAACGCUGGCGGCAGGCCUAACACAUGCAAGUCGAACGGUAACAGGAAGAAGCUUGCUUCUUUGCUGACGAGUGGCGGACGGGUGAGUAAUGUCUGGGAAACUGCCUGAUGGAGGGGGAUAACUACUGGAAACGGUAGCUAAUACCGCAUAACGUCGCAAGACCAAAGAGGGGGACCUUCGGGCCUCUUGCCAUCGGAUGUGCCCAGAUGGGAUUAGCUAGUAGGUGGGGUAACGGCUCACCUAGGCGACGAUCCCUAGCU
rnacentral:rRNA from 1 species